GACGGAGGAUGCAAGUGUUAUCCGGAAUCACUGGGCGUAAAGCGUCUGUAGGUGGUUCGAAAAGUCCACUGUUAAAAAUUGAGGCUUAACUUCAAAGAUGCCGUGGAAACUUUCAAACUAGAGUAUGGUAGGGGUAGAGGGAAUUUCCAGUGGAGCGGUGAAAUGCGUAGAUAUUGGAAAGACCACCGAUGGCGAAGGCACUCUACUGGGCCAUUACUGACACUGAGAGACGAAAGCGUAGGGGAGCAAAUGGG
rnacentral:rRNA from 1 species